rnacentral:rRNA from 1 species
UUAGGGUUCGAUUCCGGAGAGGGAGCCUGAGAAACGGCUACCACAUCCAAGGAAGGCAGCAGGCGCGCAAAUUACCCAAUCCCAACACGGGGAGGUAGUGACAAUAAAUAACAAUAUGGGGCCCUUACGGGUUUCGUAAUUGGAAUGAGUACAAUUUAAAUCUCUUAACGAGGAACAAUUGGAGGGCAAGUCUGGUGCCAGCAGCCGCGGUAAUUCCAGCUCCAAUAGCGUAUAUUAAAGUUGUUGCAGUUAAAAAGCUCGUAGUUGAAUUUCGGGAUUUGUCAGUUGGUCGGGCUUAACUGUCCGUAUUGACUCGAUGGAUUCUUACCUUCUGAAUAACCAGCAUGCUAUUAAUUUAGUGCGUUGGGGAAGCAGAUCUAUUACCUUGAAAAAAUUAGAGUGCUUAAAGCGAGCUAGUGCUUGAAUAGAUUAGCAUGGAAUAAUAAAAUAGGACGGCAUGGUUCUAUUUUGUUGGUUUCUAGGAUCACCGUAAUGAUUAAUAGGGAUAGUUGGGGGCAUUANUAUUCAAUUGUCAGAGGUGAAAUUCUUGGAUUUAUUGAAGACUAACUUCUGCGAAAGCAUUUGCCAAGGAUGUUUCAUUAAUCAAGAACGAAAGUUAAGGGAUCGAAGACGAUCAGAUACCGUCGUAGUCUUAACCAUAAACUAUGCCGACUAGGANCGGACGAUGUUNAUUUUAUAUGACUCGUUCGGCACNUACNG